ACGAACGCUGGCGGCGUGCUUAACACAUGCAAGUCGAACGGUGAAGCCUUUCGGGGUGGAUCAGUGGCGAACGGGUGAGUAACACGUGGGCAAUCUGCCCUGCAUUCUGGGACAAGCCUUGGAAACGAGGUCUAAUACCGGAUACGACGCAUCUCCGCAUGGGGUGUGCGUGGAAAGCUUUGGCGAUGCAGGAUGAGCCCGCGGCCUAUCAGCUUGUUGGUGGGGUGAUGGCCUACCAAGGCGACGACGGGUAGCCG
rnacentral:rRNA from 1 species